rnacentral:pre_miRNA from 15 species
UUAAUGUAUGAGGUGUGACAAUAAGGUAACGAUACUGAUUUCCAUGUUAGUCUGGUGGAAUUAGCCUCAUUACUCUAUAGUCACACCUUAUAAAUUC